rnacentral:rRNA from 1 species
CCUACGGGAGGCAGCAGUAGGGAAUCUUCCGCAAUGGACGCAAGUCUGACGGAGCAACGCCGCGUGAGUGACGAAGGUUUUCGGAUCGUAAAACUCUGUUGUGAGGGAAGAACACGUACCAACUAACUAUUGGUACCUUGACGGUACCUCACCAGAAAGCCACGGCUAACUACGUGCCAGCAGCCGCGGUAAUACGUAGGUGGCAAGCGUUGUCCGGAAUUAUUGGGCGUAAAGCGCGCGCAGGCGGUUCCUUAAGUCUGAUGUGAGAGCCCACGGCUCAACCGUGGAGGGUCAUUGGAAACUGGGGAACUUGAGUGCAGAAGAGGAAAGUGGAAUUCCACGUGUAGCGGUGAAAUGCGUAGAGAUGUGGAGGAACACCAGUGGCGAAGGCGACUUUCUGGUCUGUAACUGACGCUGAGGCGCGAAAGCGUGGGGAGCAAACAGGAUUAGAUACCCUGGUAGUCCACGCCGUAAACGAUGAGUGCUAAGUNUUAGGGGGUUUCCGCCCCUUAGUGCUGCAGCUAACGCAUUAAGCACUCCGCCUGGGGAGUACGGCCGCAAGGCUGAAACUCAAAGGAAUUGACGGCUGNGAGNGCGAGACGACGACGAGGGAGAGG